rnacentral:miRNA from 10 species
UGUAUAUAUACAUAUGUACGCACAUGUGUGAGCUCACAUGUAUGUGUGCAAGUGCAUGCAUGUA